rnacentral:misc_RNA from 1 species
GAUGAAGAACGCAGCGAAAUGCGAUAAGUAAUGUGAAUUGCAGAAUUCAGUGAAUCAUCGAAUCUUUGAACGCACAUUGCGCCCGCCAGUAUUCUGGCGGGCAUGCCUGUCUGAGCGUCAUUUCAACCCUCAUGCCCCUAGGGCGUGGUGUUGGGGAUCGGCCAAAGCCCGCGAGGGACGGCCGGCCCCUAAAUCUAGUGGCGGACCCGUCGUGGCCUCCUCUGCGAAGUAGUGAUAUUCCGCAUCGGAGAGCGAUGAGCCCCUGCCGUUAAACCCCCAACUUUCCAAGGUUGACCUCAGAUCAGGUAGGAAUACCCGCUGAACUUAAGCAUAUCAAUAAGCGGAGUA